GAUGAAGAACGUAGCGAAAUGCGAUACUUGGUGUGAAUUGCAGAAUCCCGUGAACCAUCGAGUCUUUGAACGCAAGUUGCGCCUCAAGCCAUUAGGUUGAGGGCACGUCUGCCUGGGCGUCACAUAUCGUUGCCUGAUGCCAGUUUCCUCGUGAUGGGUGACUGUGCAGGGCGAAUGAUGGCUUCCCGUGAGCAUUGUUGCCUCAUGGUUGGUUGAAAAUUGAGUCCUUGGUAGGGAGCGCCGUGAUAGAUGGUGGUUGAGUGACGAACGAGACCCAAUCAUGUGAGACCCCUACCGAAUUUGGCCUUCAUGACCCACAUGCGUCUUUGGAACGCUCAUGACGAGACCUCAGGUCAGGCGGGGCUACCCGCUAAGUUUAAGCAUAUCAAUAAGCGGAGGA
rnacentral:misc_RNA from 1 species